rnacentral:tRNA from 1 species
UUUUAUAUAGUUUAAAAAACAUUACACUUUCAUUGUAAAAUUAAGAAAAAAUUUCUUUAUAAAAU